rnacentral:rRNA from 1 species
CCUACGGGAGGCAGCAGUGAGGAAUAUUGGUCAAUGGACGAGAGUCUGAACCAGCCAAGUAGCGUGAAGGAUGACUGCCCUAUGGGUUGUAAACUUCUUUUAUAUGGGAAUAAAACGUUCCACGUGUGGGAUUUUGUAUGUACCAUAUGAAUAAGGAUCGGCAAACUCCGUGCCAGCAGCCGCGGUAAUACGGAGGGUCCGAGCGUUAUCCGGAUUUAUUGGGUUUAAAGGGAGCGUAGGUGGAUUGUUAAGUCAGUUGUGAAAGUUUGCGGCUCAACCGUAAAAUUGCAGUUGAAACUGGCAGUCUUGAGUACAGUAGAGGUGUGCGGAAUUCGUGGUGUAGCGGUGAAAUGCUUAGAUAUCACGAAGAACUCCGAUUGCGAAGGCAGUUCACUGGACUGCAACUGACACUGAGGCUCGAAAGUGUGGGUAUCAAACAGGAUUAGAUACCCCGGUAGUC